CACCCCAACCAAGGGCCCGGCUCCCGGCCCACAGGUUCCGCCCUCGCCCCGGGAGUAGGCACCGCCUCCUCCAGCCGCCCGCAGAAAAAACUUCCCUUGUGCCUCUCGCGGGACCUAGGCCUUUUUGGCAAGAUUUUGAUAACACAGGCAAAGCACUGUCCCGCGAGGUGUGGAACCGGAAACGUGAGGGAUGAGAGCGGAUUCCGGCGGAACCCGGAAGCCUAGCUGUUUUGCUUCCUGGAUCUUUCGUUGCCGGGCAGCGUGGAGCUGGCGUCUGGCGUGUCCUAGCGGGAUGGUGUUGACCCGGCUGACCGCGGCGCCGGAGCGCAGGCUGGCCCGGCGGGUGUGCGGAGUCGUGCUGGACCACUUCGACGCCCAGUACUCCAGCGAGCUCGGCGACGCCUGGGCCGCGGUCAGGGACAUACUAACAUCGCCCUGCUGCUGGCAGUAUGCUGUCCUUCUAAACCGAUUCAAUUAUCCUUUCAACCUGGAAGAGGCUUUACGUUUGAGGGGCUAUCGCACCGUCUUCCAAGGAUCUUUACCCCACUGUCCUAAAUCCAUGAAGUGUUACCUUAGCACAACUGCGGGCAGGAUGCCUUCAGAAAGACACCAAGUUGGAAACCUAAAAAAAUACUAUCUCCUGAAUGCGGCCUCUCUCCUCCCAGUGCUGGCUCUGGAGUUGAGGGAUGGGGAGAAGGUUCUGGAUCUGUGUGCUGCUCCCGGGGGCAAGUCGAUCGCCCUGCUGCAGUGUGCGGACCCAGCACAUUUCGGUUUGGACCAGCCACGUUCAAGCUCACAGCCAUCUGUGGCAAAUCGAUAUGGUAUUGGACAAUGUUAUCUUCACUGCAACGAAUACGAUCAUUUGAGGUUGAAGUGGCUGAUGCAGACCUUGGAAUCUUUCAUCCCACAGCCUUUGGUGAAUGGGAUUAAAGUAUCUCAGUCGGACGGCAGAGACGUGGGGGACGCCCAGCCUGAAACUUUUGACAAGGUGCUGGUUGAUGCUCCGUGUUCAAACGAUCGGAGCUGGCUGUUCUCUCCUGAUGCUCAGAAGGCGGCCUGCAGGAUAAGCCAGAGGAGGAGUCUGCCUCUGCUGCAGAGAGGGCUCCUGCGCGCUGUAGGAGCGGCUUUGGGCCAGGAGGCACCUUUUGGCAGCGGCCACGUUGUUCUGGGUGAGCUAGCCUCCUAGGAAGUUGUGGUUUGUUGUUAGCACUCAUCGCCCCUCUAAGAAUUUUCCAGAAGAGCAUGACCACCAAGAGGUAAUUGUUUUCCUUGAGAACAGAGGCAUUUUGGGACAUCCCAUCCUGGUUUCAAAAGAGAUUUCUACUUUUAUCCUACUCCCAAGUGGUUCCUGUUGUUCAUACUUAACAGGAAUUCUCUGAGCUGUGUGAGGUCUAGUUAAGCGACACCUUCGUGGAGUGAGGGCAAGGGCGGUGCACGAGCUCUGCAGAUUCUGGGUCCGUGUCCACCUUCUGACUGGUCCACGGCGAACGUGCCGAGCUGUGUCAGGUCUAGCAUGAAAAGUUUAUUGGAAGACACAGUGACAACAGGAGAAAAGUCCCAAAGCAUCUGAGAUAGGGGUUACCUCCUGACUGUGAGGCAUGGCCUUCCUCUUUCAUCAUUGGUGACCAGAAGUUGAUGUGUUCAUAUUGGAAGAAUAAUCUUUGGACAUGUAGCUCUCUUAGAAUGAAAGAUUUCCACCACUGUUUCAGGGGACAGUGAGAAGUAAGAAGAUACACGUGAAAACCUGUUAGAGACGAACGACAAGCACUGAAGGUUCAGGAGGCCCUCAGUGGUCACUCCCAAACCUCUAAAUCACGUUUCUUCUUUAUUUUUAUUUAUGAGCUUUAGACGCUGACUGCUGACUUCUCACCGGGACUUCUCUCUCGCACUACCCUUUCCCUUCAUGCCCUUCCAGCCUGCUGCUCACCCCUUCUCAGCUUCGCCCGUGGUGAGCUCUCGAGUCCGGCUCACCGGGAGCUGCAUCUUGGCUCCUGUGAGUGUGGAGAGUACCUCUGACACGCUUCAGCUUUGUUCUGUUUCCUCUGAGAAGCAGUCAGGGCAAGGCCCUAUGUCUGCCCCUGUAAUGCAGGAUCAUUUACAGCCCCUCUGCUUCCCGGGCUCUUAACAGCUGUACCUUCACUAGUCAGGGUUGACAGGGUUCUCUCUGAGAAUUUAUGUCUGUUCUGUAACAGUACUACCAACAGGCUAUGGAAUGAUUCUGAAGGGUGAAGACCAGUAGUAAGUAUCCGUUGUUUACUUCUGCAAAUGUUGUUCACUGCAGAUGGACUAAGAUGUUAGAAUUAAAUUUCCUUCUCUGUUGAUUAGGUGUUGUGAUCGGAGUGCCACUGAAAGGAAAUUUCCUACCAUCAGAUUACAGGGGAAAUCUCUCUCCUCUCUUCCUCCCUCUCUCUUUCUCUCUACCCUGCGGGUACUUGUGCCAAGACUUCAAGGUUUUUUCUGUUUUGAGUCAUUGUGUCUCACUUCUUUCUAGAGAGAUCCCUCUCAUUCUCAUCUGGAGUGGUCACCCCCCAGGGCUCUGGAGACUUCCCUCUCAUUGUGAUCUGAAGCAGUCACUCUCCUGGGCUCUGGAGGCCUCCCUCUCAUUCUCAUCUGGAGUGGUCACCCCCUAGUGCUCUGGAGACCUCCCUCUCAUAGUGAUCUGGAGCCUCACCCUCCUGGGCUCUGGAGGCCUCCCUCUCAUUCUCAUCUGGAGUGGUCACCCCCUAGUGCUCUGGAGACCUCCCUCUCAUUGUGAUCUGGAGCCUCACCCUCCGGGGCUCUGGAGAACUCCCUCUCAUUCUCAUCUGGAGCGGUCACACCCCAGGGCUCUGGAGACCUCCCUCUCAUAGUGAUCUGGAGCCUCAUCCUCCGGGGCUCUGGAGAACUCCCUCUCAUUCUCAUCUGGAGCGGUCACCCUCUGGGGCUCCCAUGCAGUUAUCAUCCUGGGAUUUCACUUGUAUGUUGUGUUCACUGUUUUCUCUAUCACCUUCCUCCUUUCUUUUGAUUUACCUCCUCAUUUUGCUAGAGGUCUAAUUUCUAAAUCAUCAAAUACCUGACAUUUUCUGUAUCCCUUCAGUAUAUUUAUUUGACAGUUUGGCAGUGAAUGGUACCCACUUUACGUUGCCUUUUUCCAGGAUUGGAGUGCACUGCUCCGCUGACACCAGUCUCGCUCCUGGACCCUCAUAGGCGACUCGUUUUUCUCCCUGGAGGCAUUUAGUGUCUUCUCUUUGUUCUUGACAUUCUAAAAUUUAGCGAUAAAGCCUAAGUGUGGAUGUUUUCGUUCAUUGUAAGGUUGAAGUCGUGCAGUGUUGUACAAGACCCUCUGCCUCUCCUCCUAACUCUCGGGUCUCACCUCAUCCUUCCACCCCGCCAGCUUACCUUCCUGCAGCCUCACUGGCCUCCUCUUUCCUCAAAGAGGCCUCCAGGGAGGGGGAGGGGCUAGAGAUGGAGCCCACUCACCAGAGACCAGUGAUGUAAUCACUUACGCCUACUUAAUGAAGUUUCCAUAAAAACCCCAACUGAAGGGAUUUGGAGGGCCUCCCGGGGGGUGAGGAGGUGCUGGAGGGGUGUCUGGAAAGGGCAUGGAAGCCCUACAUGCCUUCUCCCGUGCUUCGCCCAGGCAUCUCUCCCAUCUGGCUGUUCCUGAAUUGUAUCUUUCUGUAAUAAAUCAUUAAUCUAGUAAAUAAACUGUCUUCCUGAGUUCUGUGAGCCAUUCUAGCAAAGUAUUGAACCCACGGAGGGGGUCAUGGGUCAGAAGUACCGGAGGGCUGGACUUGCACUUGGCGUCUGAAGGGCAGUCUUGAAGGGCCCAGCUCUUCACUCAUGGGAUCUGAUGGAAACUCCAGGUGGAGAGUCAGAACUGAGGUAAAUUUUAGGACAUGCAGUCAGCGUUUGCAGAGAAUUGGAGGAUUGCUUGGUGAAGGAAAAGCAUGCAAACACAUAUACAUACAUGUGUGUGGUUGUGUGUAUGUAUGUAUUUAUGUGUGUAUACUGUGUAUCAGUCUGCCAGGCCUGCUACAACAUACAUACACAUGUGUGUGUUGUGAGUGUGUAUGUAUUUAUGUGUGUAUCCUUUGUGUCAGUCUGCAGACUGGGGCCUUGGACCCCAGAAGUUCCUUCUCCCGGUUCUGGAGGCUGGAAGUCAGUGAAGGAGCCGCGGGCUGGUUCCUCCUGAGGCCUCUCUGCUCAGCUGGGGAGAGCUGUCUUCUCCCUGUAUCUUCACAUCAUAUCCCACUGUGUGUACCUGUGCCCAAAUUUCCUCUCAGAAGGACAUCAUGGUAUUGGAUUAGGGACCACCCUAAAGCCGUCAUUUUUUCUCAUUACCUUUUUAAAGAUCCUGUCUCCAGAUACAGUCACAACACUGGGGCCAGGACUUUACCAUGAAUUUGGUGGGGGCACAGUUCAGCCCACGAUAGACUUACUUAUUUCUAUAUUCUGUCUCCCCGAGCUGGAGUGUAAGGUUCAUGAAGGUGAGGCUUUUUGUUGUUUUUCUAUUUCAAUAUAUACCCCACACCUAGAGCAAUGCCCAGCAAUGUAGUAGAUGCUUAAGAAACAAUAUCGAACCUUCCAGCCUCUUGAUGAGUUCUCUCAAUCUGAACACCCGUCCUUUCAUCUCUGGAAGACUCUCUUCUGAUUAUUCGUUAAUUCAAGUACCCUCCCCCAGUUCUCUGUGUUGUCUUCCUGUCAGUUGAAAUUUGGACCCACUUGAUUGAUCUUUCCUGUCUCAUUUUCAGUCACUGUUCUACUUUUUGGAAGAUUUCUGCAACCUUAACUUCCAGACACUUCUACAGAAGGCUGUAUUUUGACGAGCAUGCUUAAUUCCUGAGCGCUGUUCCUCAUCCUGUCUCAUGGCAUUCUGUCACUGUUUUAUGGGUGCUGCAUCUUUGCUGAUCUUCUUGCAUUUAUUAGGUCUCAUUGUAUCUGUUUUGUUUCCUGAAUUUUAUGUUUCUUCCUAUGCCAUUUUUUUUUGUUUAUUUUAUUCUUGCUCUUACAAGCGCUUGGGCAUUUCUCACGCUUAAUUAUCUGCAGUCCUUGGUUGUACAUUUUUAUUUACUGAUGGGACAAUGAAGCACCAGGACGCUUGCUGCAGGGAUGGGACCCUGCCCUCAGGAUGAGCUCGCUGUUACCUGGAGGCCCCUUCAAGGUCUGCAAUCAAGGCCCUGCGUCCUGGAGGCCUCCUCGUGUACUCUACCUGCACACUUUCCAGGGCAGAAAAUCAAGACGUGAUCAAUGAUGUGUUAAACACCCACAGCAACGUCAUCCCUGUGGACAUUACGGA